rnacentral:rRNA from 1 species
CCUGGCUCAGGACGAACGCUGGCGGCGUGCGUAAUACAUGCAAGUCGAGCGGACCUUCGGGUCAGCGGCGGACGGGUGAGGAACACGUGAGUGAUCGAGCUGUGAGUGGGGGAUAUCGGGCCGAAAGGCGCGGCAAUCCCGCAUACGUUCCGGGGAACCGGAAGAAAGCUUGGCAACAGGCACUCAUAGGGGAGCCCGCGGCCCAUUAGCUAGUUGGGGGGGUAAGGGCCUCCCAAGGCGAUGAUGGGUAGCCGGCCUGAGAGGGUGAACGGCCACACUGGGACUGAGACACGGCCCAGACUCCUACGGGAGGCAGCAGUAGGGAAUCUUCCACAAUGGGCGAAAGCCUGAUGGAGCAACGCCGCGUGAGUGAAGACGGCCUUCGGGUUGUAAAGCUCUGUCUGUCGGGACGAAGACCGGCCCGGAAGGGCCGGGGAGCCGGUACCGACGGAGGAAGCCCCUGCAAACUACGUGCCAGCAGCCGCGGUAAGACGUAGGGGGCAAGCGUUGUCCGGAAUUACUGGGCGUAAAGGGCGUGUAGGCGGUGCGAUACGUAGCGGUUUUAAGCCUCCGGCUCACCCGGAGGAGGGCGGCUAAACGGUCGCACUGGAGGGCAGGAGAGGUGCGUGGAAUUCCUGGUGGAGCGGCGAAAUGCGUAGAGAUCAGGAAGAACACCCGUGGCGAAGGCGGCGCACUGGCCUGGCCCUGACGCUGAGGCGCGACAGCGUGGGGAGCGAACGGGAUUAGAUACCCCGGUAGUCCACGCCGUAAACGAUGGGUACUAGGUGUCGCCCGGGUCCACCGGGCGGUGCCGGAGCUAACGCACUAAGUAUCCCGCCUGGGGAGUACGGCCGCAAGGUUGAAACUCAAAGGAAUUGACGGGGGCCCGCACAAGCAGUGGAGCAUGUGGUUUAAUUCGACGCAACG